UACGUAGGGUGCGAGCGUUAAUCGGAAUUACUGGGCGUAAAGCGUGCGCAGGCGGCGCGUUAAGACAGGUGUGAAAGCCCCGAGCUUAACUUGGGAAUUGCGCUUGUGACUGGCGUGCUGGAGUGUGGCAGAGGGAGGUGGAAUUCCACGUGUAGCAGUGAAAUGCGUAGAGAUGUGGAGGAACACCGAUGGCGAAGGCAGCCUCCUGGGCCAGCACUGACGCUCAUGCACAAAAGCGUGGGGAGCAAACAGG
rnacentral:rRNA from 1 species